GGGGGAUAACUAUUCGAAAGAAUUGCUAAUACCGCAUACGAUCUGCGGAGGAAAGCGGGGGAUCUGACCUCUCGCUCGGAGCGGCCGAUAUCAUUAGGUAGUUGGUGGGAUAAAGGCUUACCAAGCCGACGAUCUGUAGCUGGUUUGAGAGGACGACCAGCCACACUGGGACUGAGACACGGCCCAGACUCCUACGGGAGGCAGCAGUGGGGAAUUUUGGACAAUGGGGAACCUGAUCCAGCAUCGCGUGAGAAGAAGGCCUUCGGGUUGUAAAGCACUUUUGGGAAAGAAUCUGGGUUAAACCGGGAUGACGGUACCAGAAUAAGCACCGGCUAACUACGUGCCAGCAGCCGCGGUAAUACGUAGGGUGCGAGCGUUAAUCGGAAUUACUGGGCGUAAAGCGUGCGCAGGCGGUUUAAGAGGGUGAAAUCCCAGGGCUCAACCUGGGAAUUGUUUGUGACUGCGCUAGAGUGCGUCAGAGGGGGAGGAAUUCCGCGUGUAGCAGUGAAAUGCGUAGAUAUGCGGAGGAACACCGAUGGCGAAGGC
rnacentral:rRNA from 1 species